GAUGAACGCUGGCGGCGUGCCUAAUACAUGCAAGUCGAGCGAACGGACGAGAAGCUUGCUUCUCUGAUGUUAGCGGCGGACGGGUGAGUAACACGUGGAUAACCUACCUAUAAGACUGGGAUAACUUCGGGAAACCGGAGCUAAUACCGGAUGAUAUUUUGAACCGCAUGGUUCAAAAGUGAAAGACGGUCUUGCUGUCACUUAUAGAUGGAUCCGCGCUGCAUUAGCUAGUUGGUAAGGUAACGGCUUACCAAGGCAACGAUGCAUAGCCGACCUGAGAGGGUGAUCGGCCACACUGGAACUGAGACACGGUCCAGACUCCUACGGGAGGCAGCAGUAGGGAAUCUUCCGCAAUGGGCGAAAGCCUAACGGAGCAACGCCGCGUGAGUGGUGAAGGUCUUCGGAUCGUAAAACUCUGUUAUUAGGGAAGAACAUAUGUGUAAGUAACUGUGCACAUCUUGACGGUACCUAAUCAGAAAGCCACGGCUAACUACGUG
rnacentral:rRNA from 1 species